rnacentral:lncRNA from 1 species
CCCUCCCAGCUCUGACAUCCUGUGUUCUAAGGCCCCUCCCAGAUCUGACAUCCUGUGUUCUAAGGCCCCUCCCAGCUCUGACAUCCUGUGCUCUAAAGUCCCUCCCAGCUCUGACAUCCUGUGUUCUAAGGCCCCUCCCAGCUCUGACAUCCUGUGUUCUAAGGCCCCUCCCAGAUCUGACAUCCUGUGUUCUAAGGCCCCUCCCAGAUCCGACAUCCUGUGUUCUAAGGGCCUGUCCAGCUUGGACAUGCUCAUCCAGGAGUCCCUAAACUGAUGAAAUCAUGAGUCUAGUUCCUUUCCAGGGUCCAUAGAGGGCAAGUGUGCUUACCCAAUGUUGCAAGACUAAUGAAGAGAGCCAGAAUUUCAGCCCAGGUCUUCCGACUCAGGAUCCAUUUGUCCUGCUGAACACACCAGCUUAAUCCUUGGUUUGGGGAGAAUAGAAGAGUAAUGUCAGGGAGAAUGGGGAUAGGUGAGGGGGGAAAGGGCAGCAGGAGUAGAGACUGGUUUGGGGGGAGCAAGGGGUUAAGGAGCUCAGAGAAGAAGGACAUUGUCACAACUCUCAAGAAAUGCUGUUCUGAUCUCUGGAGGUCAGUGAGUCCUCGGGGAAAAGGGAGUGAAAUGCCUUCUUGUAGGAAGAAGAAGAAUACUGCAUAGCGUGGCAUCUGCGGGCCUGCGGCGCCACAACCUGGAUGUCAGCUAUGUCCCUGAACCUAGUGUCCAAGUCUGCCCAGGCCUCGUCCUCAGCACCGGUGCCAAGCAGCCCAGAAAAGAACUGGAAGAGGACAGAGCUGCAUCGGAACUCGGACAGGUCAAACAAGACUCGGCCUAUGACUGCCUCAUCAAUAAGAAGGCUGGAGGGUGCAACCCAACCCCUCAGCUGCCACAUCUACAGAAAGGACAGUGACUUGACCCCUAUUGGCUCCAGCAUCAAAGAGUGGAAGGAGGAGAUUCUCACUCAGAAGCAAGAGGAAGCUUUUAGAGAAUAUUUCAAGUUUUUCUGUGGUCCUGGAGAAAUUGACAUCCACAGCCUGAAGAGCAUCCUAUCAAUAGUGGGGAUACCCCAGACCCAGGCUGAGAUGACUGCUGCCCUGAUAAGUGCUGAUGUGAAUGGAACUUCACACCAAUGA